rnacentral:rRNA from 1 species
GAUGAACGCUGGCGGCGUGCUUAACACAUGCAAGUCGAACGAAGCAAUUUAUUUGUUUUCCUUCGGGACUUAUUAUUUUGUGACUGAGUGACGGACGGGUGAGUAACGUGUGGGUAACCUGCCUUGUACAGGGGGCUAACCGAUGGCCACGGAUGCUAAUAAACCAUAUGCGCCCAGCAUAGCAUGCUGCCUUGCGAAAACCUAGGGUGGGAUAAGCUGUACCUGAGUUGGAUUAGCAAGUAGGUGAGGUAAAGGCCUACCAAGGGGACGAUCCAUAGCCGACCUGUGAGAGUGACCGCACACAUUGGGACUAAGACGCGGCCCAAACUCCUACGGGAGGCAGCAGAGGGGAAUAUUGCACAAUGGGCGAAAGCCUGAUGCAGCGACGCCGCGUGAGCUAAGAAGUAUUUCGAGAAGUAAAGCUCAAGCAGCAGUGAAGAUAAUGACGGUACCUGACUAGGAAGCACCGGCUAAAUACGUG